rnacentral:rRNA from 1 species
GCAUAUCCAAUAAGCGGAGGAAAAGAAACCAACCGGGAUUGCCUCAGUAACGGCGAGUGAAGCGGCAAGAGCUCAAAUUUGAAAUCUGGCCCCUCCGGGGUCCGAGUUGUAAUUUGCAGAGGAUGCUUCGGGUGCGGCCCCUGUCUAAGUGCCCUGGAACGGGCCGUCAGAGAGGGUGAGAAUCCCGUCUUGGGCAGGGUGCCCGUGCCCGUGUGAAGCUCCUUCGACGAGUCGAGUUGUUUGGGAAUGCAGCUCAAAAUGGGUGGUAAAUUUCAUCUAAAGCUAAAUACCGGCCGGAGACCGAUAGCGCACAAGUAGAGUGAUCGAAAGAUGAAAAGCACUUUGAAAAGAGAGUUAAACAGCACGUGAAAUUGUUGAAAGGGAAGCGCUUGCAACCAGACUCGGCCUCGGGGUUCAGCCAGCAUUCGUGCUGGUGUACUUCCCCGGGGCCGGGCCAGCGUCGGUUUGGGCGGCCGGUCAAAGGCCCCAGGAAUGUAUCGUCCUCCGGGACGUCUUAUAGCCUGGGGUGCAAUGCGGCCAGCCUGGACCGAGGAACGCGCUUCGGCACGGACGCUGGCGUAAUGGUCGCAAACGACCCGUCUUGA